rnacentral:rRNA from 1 species
CGUGAGUAACCUGCCCUUGACUCUGGGAUAAGCCUGGGAAACUGGGUCUAAUACCGGAUAUGACCUUCCAUCGCAUGGUGGUUGGUGGAAAGCUUUUGUGGUUUUGGAUGGACUCGCGGCCUAUCAGCUUGUUGGUGAGGUAAUGGCUUACCAAGGCGACGACGGGUAGCCGGCCUGAGAGGGUGACCGGCCACACUGGGACUGAGACACGGCCCAGACUCCUACGGGAGGCAGCAGUGGGGAAUAUUGCACAAUGGGCGCAAGCCUGAUGCAGCGACGCCGCGUGAGGGAUGACGGCCUUCGGGUUGUAAACCUCUUUCAGUAGGGAAGAAGCGAAAGUGACGGUACCUGCAGAAGAAGCGCCGGCUAACUACGUGCCAGCAGCCGCGGUAAUACGUAGGGCGCAAGCGUUAUCCGGAAUUAUUGGGCGUAAAGAGCUCGUAGGCGGUUUGUCGCGUCUGCCGUGAAAGUCCGGGGCUCAACUCCGGAUCUGCGGUGGGUACGGGCAGACUAGAGUGAUGUAGGGGAGACUGGAAUUCCUGGUGUAGCGGUGAAAUGCGCAGAUAUCAGGAGGAACACCGAUGGCGAAGGCAGGUCUCUGGGCAUUAACUGACGCUG